rnacentral:rRNA from 1 species
UACGGAGGGUGCAAGCGUUGUUCGGAAUUAUUGGCGUAAAGGGGAGGUAGGUGGUCCCGCAUGUCCGUGGUGAAAUCCCUGGCUUAACUCAGGAAGUGCCGCGGAAACGGCGGGACUAGAGUGCCGGCGAGGUUAGUGGAAUUCCCGGUGUAGCGGUGAAAUGCGUAGAGAUCGGGAGGAACACCAGAGGCGAAGGCGGCUAACUGGACGGUUACUGACACUCAACGUCCGAAAGCGUGGGAGCGAACAGG